GACGAACGCUGGCGGCGUGCCUAAUACAUGCAAGUAGAACGCACAGUUUAUACCGUAGCUUGCUACACCAUAGACUGUGAGUUGCGAACGGGUGAGUAACGCGUAGGUAACCUGCCUGGUAGCGGGGGAUAACUAUUGGAAACGAUAGCUAAUACCGCAUAAUAUUAAUUAUUGCAUGAUAAUUAAUUGAAAGGUGCAAUUGCACCACUACCAGAUGGACCUGCGUUGUAUUAGCUAGUAGGUGAGGUAACGGCUCACCUAGGCGACGAUACAUAGCCGACCUGAGAGGGUGAUCGGCCACCCUGGGACUGAGACCCGGCCCAGACGCCUACGGGGGGCAGCAGUAGGGAAUCUUCGGCAAUGGACGAAAGUCUGACCGAGCAAAGCCGCGGGAGUGAAGAAGGUUCUCGGAUCGUAAAGCUCUGUUGUAAGGGAAGAACGGGUGUGGGAGUGGAAAGUUCACACUGUGACGGUAUCUUAUCAGAAAGGGACGGCUAACUACGUG
rnacentral:rRNA from 1 species